rnacentral:sRNA from 1 species
UUUUUUUUUUACUUUUUAAGUUUAUGUUGGCAUUUAUAAGUUGCUAGAUUAUGACUUGUGUCAUAUAGCAUGUGUUGUUUCUAAGUCAAAUGAAUACAUUUGAUAACAGCAACAUCAACAAAAAAAAGGGAAAAUAUAUACCCAAGAGUAAAGAAUCUUUGCAUAUCUUUGACUAUCUUAAUCAUUCACAAAAAUGUAACUGAGUAUAAAAAGAUGGGAUGCGCAAACUUUAAGUUCAUAUUCAUAAUUAUUAUCAAAAAAUAAUAUUCAAAAUGAGUGGCUCUUUGGCAUUUCACAUCAUAAUGAGUGUCACAUUCAUGGUUUUUUUCUUUGGUGGUCUAUGCGAGGCUCGUGGGGUAAACGUGGAUCUCAUCAAUGAUAUUGGUCCAAAUGUUCAAUUAGGACUACACUGCAAAUCGAAGAACAAAGAUCUCGGAUCACAAUCUUUAGUCUCUGAUCAACACUGGGGGUUUAGAGCAUCUCUUGGUUUUUGGACCGUGACUCUUUUUUUUUGUCAUUUUGAAUGGGAAAACCAAUCCAAAUGGUUUGAUAUUUUUGUUGAAGACAGAGAUUUAACAUGUGGUGAUCAUUGUGUUUGGAGUAUAAGACCUAGUGGUCCAUGUAGACUAACGGGUCGAGAAAAAUGUUUCCCAUGGAAUAAUAAGUAUUGAAACGUUGUAUUAAAAUUUUCAU